GAGGGUGCAGCUCAGUGGUGGAGCACAUGCUUAGCAUGCAUGAGGUCCUGGGUUCAAUCCCCAGCACCUCCC
rnacentral:tRNA from 1 species